rnacentral:rRNA from 1 species
AUUGAACGCUGGCGGCAUGCCUUACACAUGCAAGUCGAACGGCAGCACGGGAGCAAUCCUGGUGGCGAGUGGCGAACGGGUGAGUAAAGUAUCGGAACGUGCCCAGUCGUGGGGGAUAACGUAGCGAAAGUUACGCUAAUACCGCAUACGAUCUAUGGAUGAAAGCGGGGGAUCGCAAGACCUCGCCCGAUUGGAGCGGCCGAUAUCAGAUUAGGUAGUUGGUGGGGUAAAGGCUCACCAAGCCGACGAUCUGUAGCUGGUCUGAGACGACGAGCAGCCACACUGGGAAUGAGACACGGCCCAGACUCCUACGGGAGGCAGCAGUGGGGAAGUUUGGACAAUGGGCGAAAGCCUGAUCCAGCCAUGCCGCGUGCAGGAUGAAGGCCUUCGGGUUGUAAACUGCUUUUAUACGGAACGAAAAGGUUUGGCCUAAUAAGCUGAGCUCAUGACGGUACCGUAAGAAUAAGCACCGGCUAACUACGUGCCAGCAGCCGCAGUAA